UACGGAGGGGGCUAGCGUUGUUCGGAAUUACUGGGCGUAAAGCGCGCGUAGGCGGACCUGCAAGUCGGGGGUGAAAGCCCGAGGCUCAACCUCGGAACUGCCUUCGAUACUGCGGGUCUCGAGUCCGGGAGAGGUGAGUGGGAAUUCCUAGUGUAGAGGUGAAAUUCGUAGAUAUUAGGAAGAACACCAGUGGCGAAGGCGGCUCACUGGCCCGGUACUGACGCCGUGAGGCGCGAAAGGCGUGGGGAGCAAACAGG
rnacentral:rRNA from 1 species